CGGCAACUCAAUUGGAAUCGUAAUUAACUUCUCCCCAAUUGAAGAUCUUCAUAGAUUUGGCACACAAUUCUCAGACAUAUAUCUUCGAUUGAUCUCCUGCACAGGCUCUCCAUCAGGCUCUCCAUGAGUCGGCAACUUCAGUUGGAAUCAAAAUGGGUCAUUUACUUGCUCCUUUAAUUACACAUCAUCCUCCGACUCUCCAGCAACCUUUAAGUGCAAUAUAUAUAUUUCUAAGAUGAAGAUAAUGUAUGGUAAUGAAGAUUUGGAGCAGCAAGAGUGUGUAGUAUGGGGUCUUGCUUACCUCAUUCAAGGAAUAACAAUGAAAGACAGGGGUCAUUGAUUUCGAAAAACUCCGCCUCUUUGUUCGCCUUCUUCCUGAUUUUAAGUUACAGCAUCUGAAAAUGUUACCCUGGAGUCGGUACACAAGAUUGGCAAGCUGGAGUGACAUACGUGUCCAGAUAACACUUUUUAAGUCCUGCAUACCCUAUUUAUUAAGUAUUGGGUUAAUUGUAAUAAAUUUUAGUAAAUAAAUAUAUAGAUUAUAUAACUAAACACUUGAAGAACUGUUAGGAUUUGUUAAUUUUGUUGGUUUAUAAACUGCCUUCUGAUCUAUAAAAGGGAACAAAACCUGCAAUUUGACUUUUAGAUGUUAAAACUAAAUUUAUAUGUAUAUGUGUA